CAGAAUUUAAACACAAUAACUAUUUUCUUGUCAGUCCUAUACAUUCAUCUCUAUCUCUUCUCAUCAUCAUAUCACUAAUCUACUUCCUUUGAUGACCAUUCAUUGUCCGUGUCAAAGUCCUCAUCUUGCUGCUUCUUGGCAUAAGCAUACAACGGGACACAUAAAUUUCUUCGAAUAUGCGAAAUGUUGAAUGUCUUCGGCAUUUCAUCUAACCGUUCAUUCAAGAAGUACUGUUCAUACCUAAUGACAUAAACUCCACAAUCUCCAUUACAAGCAAAAAGAAGAAGAAUUUAGACAAAUAAAAAACUAAACAUUAAAUGAAAGGUAAUACCUUAGUUGUCACCUCAUCUUUUGCCGGUUCACAACUUCCUAAGCAACUAUCAUCAACUUUUCUUGCUCUAACAAACAUAAUUAAUAUUAAUUAAUUCAAUCCCUUAAAAUAAUCAAUUAUAUAUAUGAUAAAUUACACUAAACAAUAUUAAGAAAAACAUUAUAACAUUUGUAAUUAGGGAUGUGCAUGCAUUCUUAUGAAGAUCACUCAAAGAAGUGACAAGCAUACAGAUUUG
rnacentral:lncRNA from 1 species